GAAGAGGUCACACCCGUUCCCAUCCCGAACACGGAAGUUAAGCUUUUCAGCGCCGAUGGUAGUAGGGGGCUUCCCCCUGUGAGAGUAGGUC
rnacentral:rRNA from 1 species